rnacentral:rRNA from 1 species
ACGAACGCUGGCGGUAUGCUUAACACAUGCAAGUCGAACGGGUGUAGCAAUACAUCAGUGGCAAACGGGUGAGGAAUACAUAGGAAUCUACCUAGCAGUAAGGGAUAACUCUGGGAAACCAGAGCUAAUACCAUAUAUUACCACCAAGAUUAAACCCCUUGGUGGGAAAGAUUUAUCGCUGUUAGAUGAGCCUUUGUCGGAUUAGCUAGUUGGUAGGGUAAUGGCCUACCAAGGCAAUGAUCCGUAGCUGGUCUGAGAGGAUGAUCAGCCACACUGGAACUGAGACACGGUCCAGACUCCUACGGGAGGCAGCAGUGGGGAAUAUUGGACAAUGGGCGCAAGCCUGAUCCAGCAAUACCGCGUGAGUGAUGAAGGCCCUCGGGUUGUAAAGCUCUUUUAGUAGGGAAGAUAAUGACGGUACCUACAGAAAAAGCACCGGCAAACUUCGU